rnacentral:rRNA from 1 species
AAAGGCGUAAUGAUUUGGGCACUGUCUCAACGAGAGACUCGGUGAAAUUUUAGUACCUGUGAAGAUGCAGGUUACCCGCGACAGGACGGAAAGACCCCAUGGAGCUUUACUGCAGUUUGAUAUUGAGUAUCUGUACCACAUGUACAGGAUAGGUAGGAGCCUAUGAUAACGGGACGCCAGUUUCGUUUGAGGCGUUGUUGGGAUACUACCCUUGUGUUAUGGCUACUCUAACCCAGAUAGGCAAUCCCUAUCGGAGACAGUGUCUGACGGGCAGUUUGACUGGGGCGGUCGCCUCCUAAAAGGUAACGGAGGCGCCCAAAGGUUCCCUCAGACUGGUUGGAAAUCAGUCGUAGAGUGUAAAGGUAUAAGGG